AAGGUCAGUGACGGCAAACCCUAGCUCAUUGGAUUUCGCAGGCUGGUGCAGCCCAACGCGACCGCAGCUCGUGGACAACGGGGACCUCCGCGACGGCUGCAGAAAUUCGCCAACAGCUAGCGACAAUAACCACCAUUGCGAUUUCAAUUUGGGGAAAAUUUCAGUUUACAUGAUAUGCUACUGAACAAAGGGAGCUUGAGCUGAUGUACCUUUUCUUCCCUGCUGCACCUUGAUUGGCAUGCAACGGCGACCGCAACCGCAAUGAGGCGGUGGUGAGGAUGCACCGGGUCUCAAGGGUGGAAGGGUGGCUGUAGGGAGCAAGAUCAACACGCAGCAGGCCACGGCUGUGGCGGAGAUGGAGGCGGCUACCUUGGCAAGGCAGCAAGUCACAUGGUACGUCUUCUCAUAAAUUUCUCUGAACUAAAUCGUCGCCGCUGCUCCCGCUGCACAGGCUAGGGCCACUUUCUCAACGGUACACAUGACUCUAAGCUUCCCACAACAUAUAUGCCAAAUUGUCUGGUAUAUUCUUUUUCACCUUCUUGUCUAUCAGGCACAUCCAGAUACAAAUGUUAUAAACACUAUCAGCUCAAUUUUUGUUUUGUUUUGUUUUUGUGGAUCUGCCUGGAUUUCCAAUGUUUAUGUUUUCCGUUAAUCUCUUACAUGUCAUAAUUUAUAUUAGCAUAUGUGUCCGCAAGAGAGAAAGCGAGCUUAACUAGCAGUCAGAGAACUUGUUUGAUUGUUUAUUAUUUUGCUUUGUCGUAAAUUAAGUUGUUAGUAAUCAUCAAAUCAUUUUUUGGAAUCGGAUUAGGAUUCUGGACAAAUUAUUAUGUUUCAUGCAUGACUCCUGAAAAGUGAGCAUGGUUCUGUUUUUGGUGUGUUUGGGUUGUGAGCAUAAACUUCACAAAUCACUAGCCGAUGAGAAGUAGCUGGGCAUAGAUGGGUGCUAGCUUCAAUGAACCUUACUGUAAGCACAGAAGCAAGGCAGGGGCCCAACCCUUGCGCGCCACGUGAGCCUCUCAAGAUUAACCUUUUUAUGAACACACUUGUUGUAAGCACUUCAUGUCAUAUGCCAAAAUGCACACUGAUUGUUAGCCUGAUCGUUAGCUUCUACAAAUUAAAUUGAUAUUAACUUCCAAACUUUUAUUGUGAUGAUUUUAUGUUCACAGAGAACCAUCGACAAAAUGGUUUACUGGUGGUGUUAGAAACUGUUUUGAUUUCUUCAGAAUAUUGUCGUGCUUUAAAUUCUCUUCUUUCCUGAAUGAUAUCGUACUGAACCUCAAAAUUUCUGAACUUUGUGACCUGGGUCUAACAUGAUUUGAAGUCCUCUAUGUUGCAUAUGAGCAAUAUCAUUAUACAUUUUAUGUUUCAAGGAAGUAGGAAACAAGUUAACAUUACUUCUGCUUAGGCGAUGGCCAACGAAAAUCAUAAGUAAAAUAUAAAGUAUUGUAGUGUUUGUUUCUGCUUUCUUCUUCUGAUUCUUGUAGUUGUGUUGCACCGUUCCUAAAAGUUAAAAUUGCCAAUAUCUAGAUCUAUCAAAAGUUUUACUACAAUUUGAGUUUUUUCUUUUUUAAAUGUUUAAUGGAACGUACAGGUAGUUCAUUCCUGGUCAGAAGAUCCUUUGCUUUUCCCUUACCAAAUUAGCUUUCGGUGUUUUUUAUUUCUAUUGGUAUGUCCCUAGACAUGUGCAAGAUGAUUGCUAUGAUUUGAUUCUUAGUCCCAUGCUUAUAGAAAUGUACGUUGUUUAAACAUCACGUCUUGAUGGUAAUGCUAUCUACCAUAUAUUUUUUUGCACUGGGUUAGCCGUGUUUUUACAUUGAAAUAAAGAACAGUGUUGAGCUGAAACCUGAAGAAACAAAUAAUCAGAUUGAACCACACAUUGUCCUGGUUAGCUGUAUUUGUCGUUGGUGCUGUGUUCUCCAAGAAUCUUGUGUACUUAUCUUCCAGUUAAAAUUUGACCUCAAUUGUGGAUGUUAUCUUAUCCAUCUGUUACUUUGUUUGCUGAUAGACAAAGUGUAUAUCGAGGAAAGUAUGUACCAUCUGAUAUUUACUUGUCUGAAAUCAUGUAGGGACUAUUUGAUUUUGUGGAAUUUUAAAUGAGUUCUUGCCGGUGUUUCUUGUAGUUUAGGCUACCGCUACCACCACCUGAUAAAGUUUUGUUUUUCCCUUACAGAGUUGUUUAAGAAUCACAUAACAAUAUUUAUAAUUUGCUUGUUGGCUAUACAGUUGUUGGGAGCACAUAUGUACUUUGUCCACUAGGGAAGUAGAGGGAAUUGGCAAAUUAUUAUCUGCUCCAUGCUUUUUGUUCUUACAAUGAGUUGCAGGUUCAUGAUUGUUGCAGAGGCUGCACACACUUUCAAUACAUGCAGUUCAUGAAAGCUCUUUCAUCUGAUUACAGACAAGGUUCGAUUAUCUGCCCAUUCGAAAUCUACGUAGAAACAGCCAAAGAGCUGUUCUCUCUGUGCCGGAUUACAUGAAACCCUUCUCUGCUGAAGCAAUACAUCGAAUCUGCUGUUCCACCUUCCAUAAUAAUUCAAGCCUAGCUGCUGACCUCCGUUUGCUUGUCAUGUAUGUGUGUUCCUUUUGUUAGUGUACACCACCAACUCGAUGUGUGCUAAUUUGUUCAGACAUCGUUUCAACCUUGCGUUUAAAUUAAACUCAUGGAACCAUCGUAUUAGCCGCUUGUAUUUCAAUCAACCAAACUCAAUUGUACGUGAUGUUUUCUGGUAAGCAUUGUUGUAAACAAGUUUUGUCAAGUUAUAGAUUCUGGAAAAUCAAUCAGAAACACGCUCAAGGGCAGUUUUAGUUA